rnacentral:rRNA from 1 species
CCACGCCGUAAACGAUGAAUACUAGGUGUCGGGGGGUACCACCCUCGGUGCCGCAGCAAACGCAUUAAGUAUUCCGCCUGGGGAGUACGGUCGCAAGAUUAAAACUCAAAGGAAUUGACGGGGACCCGCACAAGCAGCGGAGCAUGUGGUUUAAUUCGAAGCAACGCGAAGAACCUUACCUAGACUUGACAUCUCCUGAAUUACUCUUAAUCGAGGAAGUCCCUUCGGGGACAGGAAGACAGGUGGUGCAUGGUUGUCGUCAGCUCGUGUCGUGAGAUGUUGGGUUAAGUCCCGCAACGAGCGCAACCCUUAUUGUUAGUUGCUACUAUUAAGUUAAGCACUCUAACGAGACUGCCGCGGUUAACGUGGAGGAAGGUGGGGAUGACGUCAAAUCAUCAUGCCCCUUAUGUCUAGGGCUACACACGUGCUACAAUGGCUGGUACAACGAGCAGCAAACCCGCGAGGGGGAGCAAAACUUGAAAGCCAGUCCCAGUUCGGAUUGUAGGCUGAAACUCGCCUACAUGAAGUUGGAGUUGCUAGUAAUCGCGAAUCAGCAUGUCGCGGUGAAUACGUUCCCGGGUCUUGUACACACCGCCCGUCACACCAUGAGAGCCGGUAACACCCGAAGCCCGUGAGGUAACCGUAAGGAGCCAGCGGUCGAAGGGGGGAUUGGGGAUUGGGGGGAAGUCGUAACAAGGUAGCCGUAGGAGAACCUGCGGCUGGAUCACCUCCUUUCUA